GCCGUUUAAAGUUUACUUCAGUGAGAAAUACUCGGUUCAGCUUUAGUUCAUAUUGCCUGUCCUAUUGCUAAGAAAUAAGUUUACAAUAUGUAUAAUAGUGGUGCAGAAGACAAAUAUUUGCGAACUUUAUUUCUAUCUGACUUUACUUUCGUUACUCUAGAUACCGGACAAGUUUGUACCUGCACCGAUAUGUUCGCUAAUAAUGCCUGCCCAAUAGAAUUAAUACAGCAUGCUAACUUUCCAGGAAAGGACAAUUUAUACCGCUGGGUCAAAGAGAGAAAUG